UCUGCUCUCGCUCAAAACUCUCGCUCAAAACUCUCGCUCUCUCGCUCGAGACCCUCACACUGAAAAGUGAAAACCCUUGUCAUCUUUCUCGCUGUCGCUGUGUCAAUUUCCUACGCACUCCCCGUCUCACUCUCCUGUUGUGCAGGUAAUCCCCCCCCCCUUCUCUCUCUGGUGAUCGGCCGACUCUGCUUUCCCUCCCUCUUCCGCCAUAACACAAACCACCUCACUCGGUGGAGCUGCUUGAGUUGCCACGGGAAACAUUGUCAACUCGUUGCAAGGGCUAAAAAGCAAUCAGGUAAGAUCAACUCCUUACACUACACUAUGCAGCACCAAGAAGAUCUUGACAGUAAACAGGCAGUUCCUUCGACCAAUCAUAUAUGCCAAUAAAGGGGGCAUAGUGGUCAUGAAAACCUACAACAAAGUGCUGUAUAAUAUCACCCUUCAUUGGUACAUCUUCAUAUUUUCCUUUCCCAUGCAUCUGUUGAAGUUUUUUAAUUUACCAUGCAACACUUGAGUUCUUGUUAUUAUUAUUGUUAUUGGUGCUUUGGCUUUUUGUGUAUGCUAGUUUUUGCUUAAGUUUGAUGUGAUCUUUAACACGCUCCUGCACAGAUCCGGCUUCUCCCAAGAUCACCACCAGAAACCGAGAAACUGAUUUUGCCGGCUUAUUAGAAACAUUGAUUUGUCAAAGCCAUUGAUGAUAUACUUGUGCUUAUAAAUUAACCUCCCAAGUGCUGAAUAAAAUUGAAGCUUAACAGAGGAUCUACUAAGUACUAAUUAAGGUGCCUUUAGUAGAACCCCCCAAUGCAGAGAAAUAUGUUAUUAGACUCCAAGCUGCAGGUAGAAAACAAGCCUGUAAAGAAUAAUUAACAUUUAUUUUCAUAGCAUGGUAACAACUCAGCCCACUCCCACAUUAAGCUCAGCUUCUAGUUUGGUGGAUCCCUACCUGUCUCUUACUAGCUUUUAAGUUCUAUUUACGUCCUCUGCAUAUCUUAUAAUAGAUCAUUUCAUGAAUGCAUUCUUUAUAUAUUUUUUUAAUUUGUGGUUACUUGUAUGUUUGUUUUAUUGAUGAUGGUUACUUGUUUUGUUUGUGGUAAUACACUUAUUUUUCUAAUACAGUCAUUACUAAAUUUAUAUAGUGAUGGGAGACAACCAAAGUACAAUUGAAAAAGACAAAGGCAGAUUAGUGUGAAAUGAUGAUCAAGAACAAUUUUUAUUUGAUUGCUUAGAACAAUCUUGUAUACCCAGUAUGAAAAUUAAUGGAGGGUUAAGAGAUGCAGUCAUGAAGGAAGUGGAGAUAUCGAUGAUAAGAAAAUAUGGUGAAGAAUAUACAAUAGAGAAAAUAAAAAAACAAAUUAAAGCGUGCUAGACCAAAUACAACUGUUAUGGGUGAAAUUUUAAAUGCUAGUGGAUUUUGAUGGGAUGCAAACAAUAAGAUGGUUUUGGCUCACAAGAAUGUGUGGGAUGAGUAUGUAAAAAAAUAUCUAUAUAGAAAGAAGUACAGAAGGUCAUCUUCAUGGAAAUUUUAUGAGCAUGUAGUAGAAAUAUAGGGUAAAGCUAUUGCUAUAGGUAAUCAUAGAAAUGCAUAUUCAAAUAUACCAAUACCAUCAACAAAAGUCCCACCUAUUACUCUGUUGGAUGAGGAAAUAUCUCAAACACAUAAUUUUGAUGAUCCCAUGAGUAACUCAUUAGACAACCAAACUUCAUCGUCAAGAGGAACAUGCAAAAAGAGAAAGUCAUAAGGGGAUGCUUCCAUAUGUGAUGUGAUAAGUAGUCUAACUGAACAAGUACAAACUUUUAAUGACGCUACUCCAUAUCAUUUGACAAAGCAAGCUAGUGACAUUGUAUCAGAGUUAUUCAUAAAUGAUGAAAUUGAUUCAUCUACUUGUUUGAAAGUGAUCAAAUUUGUGUCAGAUUCACAACAUGCAACCACAUUCCUUUGUGUUCCACCAAAGUUGAGGAUUGGGUGGUUGCUUUGCAGAAUUAGAGGAUAUUAGGAGAGAGGGAAAAGAGAGAAAGCGAGAGAGAGAGAGAACAUGAGAAAAGACAAAGAGAAUAUUAUGUUGGUUAGUAUAUUUAGGUUGCUUGUAUUUGUAGAGAUAGAAAGAGUGAGAGAGUGCUUUUUGUUAUCUUAGAUAUUUUUUUACAUAUUUUGUUGUUUUUUUAUUAUAUGUUGAUUUUAAGUCUCUCAUGUAUAAAGAGAAAAAAGAAAGAGAGAGUGAAUAUUUCUAUUUGUUUGUAUUUUUAAUGUUUUUUGAAAUAUUUUUUUUUUGUCAUAUGUGAAUUUUUUAUUGAGAAAAAAAAGCUUCAUAGUAAGAAACCAUGCAAAGAUAAAAAAAGAAAAAACAAGAAUGAUUAUCAACUAUAUUCUUCUGAAGAGCCAGUAGACAUAAAAUGAUCUUUAUCCAACAAAGAAAGUUUAAUACAAAGGGCUGCCCAAGGAAAAACCUUCUCGAAGUUUGAUUGCAAAUCUAGGUAUCGCCAGAUUAAGGUUGCAGAACAAAACAUGCAUAAAACAACAUUGUGCACUCCACUCGAUUGUAUGAAUGGCUAGUUAUGUCAUUCGGUCUCAAGAAUGCGCCAUCACAAUUCUGAAGGCGAAUGAAUGAAAUCUUUAGAGGCUACGAUUUCAUAAUAAAUUAUAUUGAUGAUUUUUUAAUAGUUUCACAAACAGUGGAAGAACAUUUGUAGCACCUCAAGAUCUUCGCUGUCAUAUGUGUCAAACACGACAUCAGAUUAUCAAAAUCAGAAGACAAAUUUCAAACGGCAAAAUGAGAAAUAGAAUUUCUUAGCAUCAAAAUCAAAGAAGGACAAAGCACGAUGCAAGAUCAUGUUUUGAAGAAAAUUGAACAAUUUUUGAAUCUGGAAGAUAAGUUGUAGUGCCAAAGGUUUCUCGAAUGCUUCAAUUACGUUGAAAGUUAUAUUAAAAAUCUGUCAAAGCAAUCCAAAAAGUGAUGAAGCAAUAGUCAUACAAAUGAACUAAGGCUGCCACUGAAGCGGUAAUCUCAUCAAAAGAAGAAUGCCAGAGAUUGCCAAAUUUAGAACCAACCUUUGUCGAACAUUUUGUCCUAUCAACAAAUGCUUCAAAUGAUGCAUAGGCAGAUGUUCUUCUCAAAAAAGUCACAAUCAAGAAAAUGUAUGCUUCUAUACCCACGAACAGUUCAAAUCAAAUGAAAUCAAUUACUGGCCUGUUGAAAAAGAAAUCCUCGCGACAAUUAGACGAUUAGAAAAAAUUCAUCCUUAUUUGAUUGGAGAAAAGUUUAUCUUAAGAACAGAUUUACAAAAUCUGGCUGUCCUCCUAAAAAGGAAAAUCACCAGCAACCCAAAAUUACAAAAAUUUGCCUGGUUACAAUUUUUGCUAUCUUAGUAUGAUUUUACUGUUGAUCUUGUCAAAAGUGUACAACACUCUUUACUAGAUGCACUCACCAGAAAAUGCGAAAUGAUGAGAUCUACAAGAAGGCAAUGGGAAGAUUGGCAGGUAGAUACUCCUGAUCGCAAAUGGAAAACUUGUCAGAAAAUUAGAAAGUUAUAUCCAUAAUGUACAAAUACAAUAGAAUGGAGAUAUCUAAGUCUGGAUUUCUAUUACACUGCAGCAGAAAGGAUGACAUGCAUUGUAAACAAUCUCAAAUGGAUGCUAUUUGAAACCGAAAUAUUAUCAUGGGCCAUUGAGCAAAGCAUUCUAGAUAACUUCAUGCUCUAUCGACGGCAACUGUAUGGUAACAAUGUUUCCAGAAAUUUUUUUAAUUUUGUUGCAUGACCAAGAUUGGAAGAAGCACUUUGCAGGAAAUUUUAGAGGAUUAACUUCGUCGAUUAUCCAGAAAUUGCAAUCUUCCAAAACGAAGAGCUAGUUUACAAAAAUAUUCCAAGAACAAAAGAAUUUGAAGAAAGUUGCACGUCAUUUGAACAAAUCACCAAAGAAAUGCACAAGUGUCGGCAUUGUCAAGUCCAGACAAAAGGUUUCUGCUCUCACCAUGAAAUUGUUGUACGAAGAAUACUAGAAUCCGAUGUAGAAAGCAGUGAAACAAAAGAAUGAAGACAAAACACUGACAAUAAUAUAUUCGACACCGAAAGUGGACCGAUGAGUCAUUUGUUUCCCUUUGAUCAUUGUCCUCGCCAAAAUCUGGUGAAUCUUGUGAAGUUACUUUUAUUUCAUGUAGUAUUAGGGAUUGAGUCAAUCAUUGGGUGAUGAGUGCUUGUUACUUUUGAGAGGCGAAUAUAUUCGUUAAAUUAUCUUGACUUUGUUUGUUUAAAUAGAAGUAGCCGGAGAAGGCAUCAGUCUUUUACCAUCCUUCUUGCCUUGUGCAGAACUUCAAACCUUCCUUUGCUAUGAGCAAAGAAAGACAGAAGUCUGAGUGUAUCGUCUUUGCAAACUUUGGGUUUCAUUAUCCAGAAGCAAGCUUUCGGUGGAAUUGCGCAACUGCAGUCGCUCAUCCCUGUUUCAUUCAGUGUCCUUUGUUUUCGCCUCCCAUCCUCCCAUCUCCAUCUCCGCCCCUUUUUUGGUAUCAGAGCCAUGGUCUCGUCGUUCAAAUCUACCAAUUUACUCAGUUGAUAUUUCACCCACCAAACUUCCAUUCCCAACUUCAGCCAAAAACCUCUCAGUUUGUUAAACACUACAACGAAUGUUACAUUGUAGAUCCUAUAAAACCUGACCAACAACCUAUAUACAACAAAGUAGUUGAUCUUCUGGAACAAGGCUAUAUACAAGGAGCAGAAUUUUGGAGCUUUAGGGAUCACUAUUCUAAGGGAGUGCGAGACCGAACCCUCAACUACAAAUGCAUAGAAGUCUCCUAGUUAUCUCAAAGUUGUCUAGAAGAAGCGUAGACCAAAUGCAAAGUUUUGUUUACCCUAAACAAAACUAUGCUUCUCUCAUGGAACGAUUCAGCUCCGCUUGAAGAAUGGCAAGGGCCAACUUGUUGCAUUCAAAACAUUACAGGCUGAGGAUGAUACUUUAUGUCAUUGACGAACAAAGAAACUUUUUUCUUUGGCCUCAAAUACAUAGUACCGCACCCGAACGAUGAUAAUCUGUUUGUCACCGUUCUUUGUAAUCUCAACAAGGUGCCACACAAGUUUGGAUUUGAAAUUCAUAUAAAGGCAGCCCUAAACGAGUGAAUCAAAUGAGACUACAUAUCAAAAUGGACUGAUUCGGAUCAUGACAUCGAAGGAAUCGAACACCAUGACCCAAAACUUGUGGAGCACACAGUACUAGACAGUGACGAAGAGCAUGAGCACAUACAUGGUCAUCCAAACUGUGACAAUGAUUCUUCAUGUACUCACGCCACAUGUCAUCUGCUUCAAAAAAUCCACACAAAAAAAAUCAUGGUAGAUGAAUCUUGUUAUAGCUGGAAAGAACCCAAACCUUUACUGAUGAAGAUGCUAUCAUGUGUCCAGUCAUGCAAACAUUCUAUUUCUCAACCAAGACCAUUCACAAAAAUUUCUAAGAUCCACUCUGCUCUCAUAGAACAUGAGAUAGAAUUGUCUGAUGAAAACCAAGAAGCUUCAUUUUUAGGAAUAAAGAAAAAUGACCUUUAUCUUUUGCCUGACCAUCUUAUGAAAAUCUAGCGAUCUGUCAAGCAGACAGAAGUAUUGCUUUCCAUCCAAGGAAACGACAUCCGGCCAGUAUUUCUCCCAUUCUUCACCAAAGAUGUACAAGGGUGAAUAGGCAAAUGUUACAAGUUUGUCCAUCUAGGGCAAAUCGAUGUCCUCAUAAAACCACAUUUUUUAAGUACGAAUUAAAUGCUCUGUACUUAAUCUCAUCCUUGAUGUUCGCCACGUUGAUUGGAAGCAAGCCCUCAUAUAUCAGUUUAUGAGAGAACUCUCAAAAGAUGGAUUAUGUUGUGUACAACCAAACUUAACGUUGUCACUGCAAGAUCCCCGCCUCCUGCAAGCUUUCGUCCUUUGCGUCCAGAUCAAAGAGGUAAAUUUGGUUGCUAAGUCAAUAUAUGCUGCCAUUGCCUCAAUGUGCACUUUCAAUCUUCUUCAAAGCACAAUCACUAGCUUCAAAAUGGACUAUGGAAUAAACUUUCCUCUGUCCAUGAAUAAAAAUAUCAUGCAAGUCAAAAUGGAGAUUUCAAACGAAGGAUUUCUACAAGGAUAUUUGGCGACUGAAGACUUUUUGCAACAUCAAAAGUACAAAGAAAGAAAGUCCUGGAAGAUCAUACUAUUUUCAAAAUAUCCAGAGAAACAUGCCCACACGUAGUCCCAGUUACAGUUGCAAUCUACAAGAUCACUGAGCCUACCUUCGGUACUUCCAACCAUCAAAAACUUUUCUAAGGAAACAUUAUCUCCCAAUAGAGAUUGGGCAGUGGAAAUGAUGAUGACAACUUCACCCAAAACAGAAAAAGGAGAAAAAACAGAAAAAGCAAACUAUGUUCUUAGGGAGAUUGGCCCCCAAAAAUGACCUAUACUACUACCACAAUAGAUGAAGUCCAUAUAAACAUACCUGAGUUCAGAGCAGAUGUAAGCUAUUUGCUCUUACAUUUGGCCCUGUCAUCAAAAACACAUGAUGACAAUACCAAACAACUCAACUACCUCUUCCAUUGGAGCACAUAUGCAGAAAAACAAAUAAUAUAAACCAAAUAACAUAAAGUGCAGUUAUAAAAGAUUGAAUUACACAAGUAGUAUAAGCACAAGCAAUAGAGAGGAUGUUAUAUAAAACCAAGAACAAGGAAAACAAAGACGCAGAUGAAGGCCCCAUAUCAAAAUCAACUUAACUCAAAUAUCUAUUAAAUUUAAGCGAGAUCAAUAAUAUACAUUUUUCCUUUGGCCAAACUACUUCAUCAAAAGCACCAGCAGCAUCGCCAAUUCAUCAUAAGGAAUAAUCUCAGAGUAUGUAAAGAUUACAACAGUUUUUGGUCGAAUCAACAAACCAAGAAUACAAAAAGGGACAACUGCUUAAGAGAGGAGACAACAAAACUAAUCUGCAAGCAUGAACGUCAAGUCUCUGCACAAGAUCUUAGACAAAGAUGCUACACGCAUAUCUAUUAUCUGAGAGCAACAAAGAAAUGAUCAUGUCAGUAGAGAGUUCAUGGUUGUAGCUUGAAAUGUCCAUCUACAGUUGAACAUGAAAAAGAAAUGUUAAUAAAAAUUAACAUGUACUUCUCAGCAUAGAAUAUGAAGCAUUACUUAAAAAAAAUUACCAUAAUAAUCAUGCACUUGAUUAACAUUCCUCGUCAAAAUGGUGCUCUGCAUCAUCAGAACUGUAACAAAGACACUUAUUAAUUUAAGCACAUUAUUAUGUUAAUAUGUAUAAACUAUGAAGCAUGAACAUCUUACCUUUUACACAAGUUGUUUGCAUCACGAAUCCAACUUUCUGUGCAGAUUAAUGAUUCAACAUGUUCAGGGGUAGUUGAACAUCGAUAAUCAUUAAGAAUUCUUCUUGAUAUACUGAUGCAGAUUCUGAAGCAAUUGUAGAUACAGGAAUAGCUAACACAUCUCAAGCCAUCUUUGUUAGAAUUUGAUAUUUGCUUUCAUGUGUUUUCCACCAAGAUAAUAUGUUGAACUAUACAGUAGAUGUAAUUUCUUCCAUUGGAUCAAUCAAAUAUUUGUCUAGAUCUAUGUGAAUCACUACAGGAGAUGCAAAGUUGACAUAUGCUUUAAACUCAUAUCUAGACAAACUUUUAUACUUUUUUGUUGCAAUCGUGGUGCUAGUGGAUGCAUUGGUCCUUUGCAUAUUACACGUGUCACUAUCCUCAUACAUAUUUUUGUACUCAGCAUACAAUUUAUGAAGAGUGCUCUCUAUGAUUUCAUAUUUCACUAUUGUAUCAGGUUUAUUUAAAUUGUCAAGCAAAUACUUCAAGUAUGACAACUUGAACCUAGGAUCCAAAACAGCUGCAAUUGCAAAAAGAAUAUUGUAGCCCUUAAAGUAUUUGUCAAACUUUUUCUGCAUUUUGCAUGCCAAUGCCCUUACAUUAUCAUUAUCAG